UUUUUUUUUUUUUUUUGACGGAAAAGCUAUAUGAUGAUUUCGUUGUAGUUUCCAUCUUGCAGCAUGCAUGGUGGUACAAAUGCCUGAAUUGUUAGUUUUCCAUUUGGUCGAACGCUUAGUCCUGUGACGAGAUUAUAUCUGUGACGAGUCAUUUGAUGUACUAAUUUUACGGAAUGAGAAGCCAAGCAAUAUACUGCUGCAAAUCAAAACUCGUAGUAGUUUAAAAUUUUCAAUUAACAAAACAGGACUUGCAGAAUAAACACAUUAAAAAAUUGGAAAUGACAUACCAAAGGUGAGAAAAAAGUAGGAAAAGGAAAAAAGGACAAAGCAGCUCCAAGCUGACCAGUAAAUAAGGUCUUCAAUGCUGUGAACCCGCCAUAAUGGACUUUUCUGAAACGAAGGUCUCCUUCAGCAGUGUGAAAGAAAGUUGAUAGAUAAGAUCCUCAACUGCUGUGAAGUGCGAACCAGCCAUAAUGGACUUCUCAACAACCUUUUUUUUACUCCUGAGGGUCAAAGAUCGCUAAAGAUCGCCCUGCCGCCCCAUCACAGCCCCGGAGAACAUAUCGUCAAGGCAAAACAGAACAGUAACAGAAGCUGAACGAAGCACAGAUGGCAGAGAUCGUCCUUACAGCUGUCAUCAACAAAGCAAUUGAAGUAAUCAGCAAUUUGAUAACUGAAGGUAGCUCUGGCUUGCAUUGGCUGGAAGAGGACAUCAGAUGGAUCGAAAGAGAGACGAGGCACGUUUGGUCUUACCUGGAUGAGGCAGAGGCCAGGCAAGAUGAAAAUCAUCUGGUACGGAAUUUGGUUCAGGAUAUUGAAGAUCUUGCUCAUGACAUUGAGGACAUCUUGGACACACUUCUUCCUUGGCUGGCAUCACACAAGAGUAAAGGGCACCUCGGUUGUCUUACUGCCGCCAGUCACGUCUUUUCCUGUGGUAAUGAUGCUGCACAACAUUUUGUCGGAGAGAUCGAAAAGAUUAAGAGAAAGAUUGAA
rnacentral:lncRNA from 1 species